rnacentral:rRNA from 1 species
UAGAUACCCUGGUAGUCCGCGCGGUAAACGAUGGAUGCUCGUUGUUGGUAUUUUAUAUAUCAGUGACUUAGCGAAAGCGUUAAGCAUCCCACCUGGGGAGUACGCCGGCAACGGUGAAACUCAAAGGAAUUGACGGGGGCCCGCACAAGCGGAGGAACAUGUGGUUUAAUUCGAUGAUACGCGAGGAACCUUACCCGGCUUGAACUGCCGGCGAACGAUUCAGAGAUGAUGAGGCCUUUCGGGGCGCCGG